rnacentral:tRNA from 1 species
GCCCGGUUGGUCUAGUGGUAUGAUUGUCGCUUCGGGUGUGACAGGUCUCCGGUUCGAUCCCGGAAUCGGGCC